rnacentral:rRNA from 1 species
UCUGGCUCAGGAUGAACGCUAGCUACAGGCUUAACACAUGCAAGUCGAGGGGCAGCAUGUGGUUGCUGCAACCAAUGAUGGCGACCGGCGCACGGGUGAGUAACGCGUAUCCAACCUUCCCCUUAGUAGAGGAUAGCCCGGCGAAAGUCGGAUUAAUACUCUAUGUUCUUCAAUGCGGGCAUCUAAGUUGAAGCAAAGAUUUAUCGCUAAGGGAUGGGGAUGCGUCUGAUUAGGUUGCAGGCGGGGUAACGGCCCACCUGGCCUACGAUCAGUAGGGGUUCUGAGAGGAAGGUCCCCCACACUGGUACUGAGACACGGACCAGACUCCUACGGGAGGCAGCAGUGAGGAAUAUUGGUCAAUGGGCGCGAGCCUGAACCAGCCAAGUAGCGUGCAAGGACGACUGCCCUAUGGGUUGUAAACUGCUUUUAUCAGGGAAUAAAGUGAGGCACGCGUGCCUUUUUGUAUGUACCUGAUGAAUAAGGACCGGCUAAUUCCGUGCCAGCCGCCGC